GUGGUAUUUUUGGUAUGAGUCAUGGUGGUAUUGCUUUCUCUCUCACCCUACUCUAAUAAGGUUUUGAUAUCUGGAGCUCAUAGGUGGGAGACAACUAAUACAUACUUACAAGACAUUUACUGCAUAGUCAAACCAUGGAUCCAGAAGAACAAGUCAAUAAGUCAAAUCAAGAUGUGCAUGUGUGGUGAAUGAAUGGUGUAUGGUGAUGAUGGUGAUAACAAUGGUGAAAGUCUAAUUCUCUUUUGAGGGGAUACAUACCUUUCUUGCUCUUUUGAAACUUUUUUAGGAGAAUGAGAUGCUAUAUAUUUUCUUUUUCUUUUCUCUCAGGUGGGUAUCUUGUACCCCUAAUUCUACUGUCGGCACUUGUCCAUUUUUACCUCUCGUCUCACUUUUUCUUUUCUUUCGAGGUUCCGGGCACUUGCCCCUUUUUAUUUCCUCGUAUCUUCUCUUUUUUUAGAGCACUCGCCUCUUUAAAUAAUUUAGCAAGUGGUAGUAACCGAAAUAACUUGAGCAUUUAUUUCACGGGGAAUAAUAGGGAUAGGAUAAUGUUUUUGGCUAUUCUCUUCUAGAUAGGAGUAGAAUAAUUUUGGGUGGUUCUGGAGAUGGAAAUGGAUGGAUAUAUGUGGAUGCGUACUUCCGGAGUAGAAGCAGCAUGUGUGAGUGAAUGUGCAAGUGAAUCUUGAUUUAACCACAUGACAAGCUCCUAGGGUCUACACAGCUUGACCACACUCAAUGCUCAUAAGCAGUAAAAAGUAAAUGAAUGGUUCAUAGUCUAAUAAGCAUGUAUAUAUGGCUGUGGUAGGAUUUUAAACUCUCAUCAUACAGGAACUCAUCAUGUGAUAUUUUAAAGAUUUUCAAAGAUAAAAUUCUCUAGAAUUCUAGCAUCUCUAGGAACAGAUAAACAGUAACUCAACCUUCCCAUAUCGUAUCCGUUAACGACUUAGACUUUAGAUCAAGUACUCUUCCCAC
rnacentral:lncRNA from 1 species